AAAAAACCUCAUAAACUAUGUCCCGCAUUUGAAAGCAUAAAGUCAACGUCUUUCCCUCUGUCCUGGAACAGAGGAUCCUCUAUCUUUGGAACUGAAACGGAGGAUCUUUGAUUGCACAGACUUCAACAAUGAAACAAGAGACGCUGACAUUGGUGCUAGUGAAUCUGGCUGCGAUUAUGGAGCGAGCCGAUGAGUCACUGUUGCCCGGAGUGUAUAAAGAAGUGGGUGCUGCUCUACAUACGGACCCGACUGGGCUGGGUUCGCUUACUCUGUUUAGAUCCAUAGUUCAGUCUUCUUGCUACCCAUUAGCAGCAUACCUUGCUUCGCGUCACAAUCGUGCCCGUGUUAUUGCCCUUGGUGCGUUUCUUUGGGCUGCUGCCACCUUCCUCGUCGCUAUAUCCUCCACCUUCUUUCAGGUGGCAGUUUCAAGAGGGCUAAACGGAAUUGGACUUGCCAUAGUCAUACCUGCCAUUCAGUCCCUUGUAGCUGAUUCCACUGAUGAAACCAAUCGUGGUAUGGCAUUUGGAUGGCUGCAGCUAACAGGAAAUCUUGGCUCCAUCAUCGGAGGGCUUUGUUCUGUGCUAUUAGCCUCAACAUCAUUCAUGGGGAUACCUGGUUGGAGAGUUGCUUUCCUUUUGGUUGGGAUAGUAAGUGUAGUAGUAGGUAUUUUGGUCGCACUCCUUGCUAUUGACCCACGCUUUUCUGCCUCUGAUAAUAGAUCCAGGGACCAAAAUUGUGAGUCCUUUAUUUCAGAAUUGAAGGACCUGAUCAGAGAAGCAAAGUUAGUUAUGAAAAUACCAACUUUCCAAAUACUUGUGGCUCAAGGUGUCUCUGGAUCAUUCCCUUGGUCUGCUUUAUCAUUUACCGCUAUGUGGUUAGAACUUAUUGGCUUCUCUCAUGAAAAAACAGCAUUCCUUAUGACUCUUUUUGUGAUUGCCUGUUCCCUCGGUGGUCUAUUUGGAGGGAGGAUGGGGGAUAUACUUGCUAAAUACUUCCCCAAUUCUGGGAGGAUAGUCCUGUCACAGGUAAGCUCUGGUUCGGCAGUUCCUUUAGCAGCAGUUUUGCUGUUGGUAUUGCCUGAUGAUCCUUCAACAGCAUUCAUGCAUGGUCUGGUCUUGUUCAUCAUGGGCCUGUGCAUAUCCUGGAAUGCUCCAGCAACAAACAAGCAUGUAAAUGUGUGUGCCCAGUCCAAUAUUUGCAGAGAUAGUUCCUGAGAAAUCUCGAACAAGCAUCUAUGCUUUGGAUCGAUCAUUUGAAUCAAUACUCUCUUCAUUUGCACCCCCUGUAGUUGGGAUUUUGGCUCAGCAUGUUUAUGGUUAUAAAAUUCCCAAAACAUCAUCAGACACAGUCAAAGUUGAAACAGAUAGAGAAAAUGCAGCAUCCCUUGCCAAGGCACUAUACACAGCAAUUGGCAUUCCAAUGGCAUUGUGUUGCUCCAUCUAUUCCUUCCUUUAUUAUACGUACCCAAGAGACCGGGAGCGUGCAAGGAUGAGUGCUUUGAUAGAAUCAGAAUUGCAACAACUAGAGACAGAUAGGUCUCCUUCAACAGAAGAAUACUCGCAACUACAAGUUUCAGGAUCAACAGGGAUGAAUGGAAAGGAAAGAAGCAAAAUUGACUUGGAGAAUGGGAAGGAUGAGAGCAUUGAUUUGGAUGAUAAUGAUGAGAAGGCUCUGCUUGCUCAUCAGCUAACAUUCUCAAACAUAAGAGACUGAAGAACCUGUCAUUGCAGAAGCUGGUUACUGUCCAUUUUAGUCUUCUAUACACUCUCAAAUGAUAAGUUGAAGAAACUUCAUCUCUUCUGAACUUCUGAAUUUUUUACAUGCCUUUUAAAGGUUACAAUUAAGGGAUUUUUAUUAACUCUGAGGUCUAUAUUUCUUCAGACAUGAGUAAAUUCACUUGUUCCAUCUUCCAUGUAGCUAGUUCUAAUUAUGAUGUUAAUAAAUUAU
rnacentral:misc_RNA from 1 species